UUUAUUUUUCUUCUUUGGUGUCUUAUAUGUGAAAAAUAUAUUUGAUUACUCUUGAGUGACUUUGAUCUACUUCAGAAGCUAAAUGUUAUAUUUAAUGUUUUCUAUUUCGUCGAUUUUUGUGGUGUUCAACUCUAUUCCAAUUUUGUAUCUUGAUUUACAGUAUCGUUGUUCAUAUUUUCAGCUGGUUUUUCUUCAGUUUAGCUUGACUUAGUUGAGAAGAUUCAGAUUUUGCUACACUUUUUGCUUAUUUAGGGAUUUGUUUGUUAGUUUCCUCAGCUUUAUUUAACGCCUUUUAUCUUCUUUCUAUCUAAUAUGUGAAAAUUUUGUUGAUUUCUUCUACAUUCACCUUGAUUUACUUCAGAAGCUUUUAUUUUUGCUCAAUGUGUGUUUUUCUGCUCAGUUUCUACUUCUGGUGUUUUCACACUAGAAGUACAACAGGUUCUUAUUAGUAUUUCAGGAGAUUUUUUAGCUCAGUUGGAAUGCCUUAUACUUCUGUUGGUGUUUGUACUUUUAACUUCCAAAAUUUCAUGUUAUCUCGCUAAGAAGCUUCAUUUUUUCUUCAAUCUUUGCUCUGCUGUAUAAUUUCUUCUCUUUCUUCCUUGCAGUUUUAGUUGUAGGUAUGUUGUUAUCUUUAUGCUUCUGUUGCCUUUUCUUACUAUAAAUUAUUCUCCAUUUAAUUAUGCACAAGCUUAAUUGAUUCCAAUAUCUAAGGUUUUAAUGUGUUAAGCACAAUGAAAAAUUAUAUAGUCCUCAAAGCGACAGUGUAAAUAUUCAACUGUAACUUGUAAUCCACUACUACCCAAAACCUAUAUCUGCCUUCCAAAUUGGAAUAGAUCUCUCUCAAUCUAGUUUCUUUACUUUGUAAAUGGAAAUUUAGGAUAUUCUUUAUUGGACGAGUGACUUCUUUUUACCGAUUCACAUUAAUUGAAAAUUUGAUUUCAAUAGCUUGUAUAAUUUAGUUGGCUUACAUUUUUCUACAUUUGUCAUAUUAACUCAUGUUCGACUGGAUGUAUGAUUUACAAGGUUUCUAUUAUGAUGAAUUUAUAGACAUCUAGGAUUCAAUUAGGAUCAUUUUCACCAAAUUGAAGCAGCAACAAAAAAACUGGUCGACGGAUGUUUAUUUUUAUUAAAAUAUUUGAUUACUGAACUUUAUACUCGUGCUAAUAUGAUACCACAAAUUCUUAUAUUUAUCUGACCAAGGGAAAUCUGCAGAAAAUGCAGAAGGAAGCUCUAAACAUCCUCCAUAUUACUGUUACUAUAAAUCUUGGUCGUGCAUCCUGGCGUUAUUUUUUAUGCCCUAUCAUAUGGAAAAUAUUGAUUUCUGAUUGAUACCCUAUAAAGUUAGACAUGGUUGCAUUGCGUUAUCUUCUCAAACCAAUAUAUGUCUGAGUAGGUGAGUAAGAUUCAAUUCCUAUUGAUAGUAAACCCAUUUCACUAAUGAAAUUGUUAGAUGCAAAAUUUUACUUGGAACAGAUACCCUACACAUGAUGGUUUUUUGUUUGGUUUUCUAGCAACACAAGCAUUUCCAGAUUUGUCAAAAUCGUUGUCCAUUUGGAAUUUCACUUAGCAAAAGAGACAUGCCUUUUAGUGAAAAAAUUUAUCCUUUUAAGCUCUUCGGCUUCAUCGGAAGCCUCAUCGACACAAAAACUUUUUCCUUCUCCAAGCAUCAUAUGUUGUUCGAUAUAGAUUUUGAAGGUGUCGCAAGAGGUCUAACAUACUUUUGGUAAUUGUUUCAAUUUUUCUGAGAUGAUUAUACAUCAUGCUAUUGGAUAUUUGUUAUGUGAUUUCUCAUCAUUCGAAGAUUUCUCCAUUUGCUU